CAGUAGCCGCGGUAAUACGUAGGGUGCAAGCGUUAAUCGGAAUUACUGGGCGUAAAGCGUGCGCAGGCGGUUAUAUAAGACAGAUGUGAAAUCCCCGGACUCAACCUGGGAACUGCAUUUGUGACUGUAUAGCUAGAGUACGGCAGAGGGGGAUGGAAUUCCGCGUGUAGCAGUGAAAUGCGUAGAUAUGCGGAGGAACACCGAUGGCGAAGGCAAUCCCCUGGGCCUGUACUGACGCUCAUGCACGAAAGCGUGGGGAGCAAACAGGAUUAGAUACCCCAGUAGUCCCUGUCUCUUAUAA
rnacentral:rRNA from 1 species